ACGUAGGUGGCAAGCGUUAUCCGGAAUUAUUGGGCGUAAAGCGCGCGCAGGUGGUUUCUUAAGUCUGAUGUGAAAGCCCACGGCUCAACCGGGGAGGGUCAUUUGAAACUGGGAGACUUGAGUGCAGCAGAGGGGAGUGGAAUUCCAUGUGUAGCGGUGAAAUGCGUAGAGAUGUGGAGGAACACCGGUGGCGAAGGCAACUUCCUGGUCUGUAACUGACACUGAUGCGCGAAAGCGUGGGGAGCAAACAG
rnacentral:rRNA from 1 species